AGACCUACGGGUGUCCGCAGUAUUUCCUUUUCGUCCCUUUUCUCAAUCCUUAACGAGCAAUGCCGCGUGAACGAGGAAGGUCUUCGGAUCGUAAAGUUCUGUUGAAGGGGAAAAAGAGCGGAGAGAGGAAAUGAACUCCGAUUGAUAUUACCCUUCGAGGAAGUCACGGCUAACUACGUGCCAGCAGCCGCGGUAAUACGUAGGUGGCGAGCGUUAUCCGGAAUGAUUGGGCGUAAAGGGUGCGUAGGCGGCCUGCUAAGUCUGGGGUGAAAGGGAC
rnacentral:rRNA from 1 species